rnacentral:rRNA from 1 species
GACGAACGCUGGCGGCGUGCUUAACACAUGCAAGUCGAGCGGUAAGGCCCUUUCGGGGGUACACGAGCGGCGAACGGGUGAGUAACACGUGGGUGACCUGCCCUCAGCUCUCGGGAUAAGCCUGGGAAACCGGGUCUAAUACUGGAUAUGACUCCAUGACGCAUGUUGUGGGGUGGAAAGCCUUGUGCGGCUGAGGAUGGGCCCGCGGCCUAUCAGCUUGUUGGUGGGGUGAUGGCCUACCAAGGCGACGACGGGUAGCCGGCCUGAGAGGGCGACCGGCCACACUGGGACUGAGACACGGCCCAGACUCCUACGGGAGGCAGCAGUGGGGAAUCUUGCGCAAUGGGCGAAAGCCUGACGCAGCGACGCCGCGUGAGGGAC